UUGGGGAUGAAGUCCGGCUCUCGUAGGAGUCCAGACGAAGUCUUCCUGCAGUUGGAGUCGGGGAUGAAGUCCGGCUCCCGUAGGAGUCCGGACGAAGUCUAGAGGGUGGUCGAUCAUCGUGAAAACUUGGGUGAAAUCCGUCCGUCGUGAAGAAUCCGGUCGACGCUGGUGGGGGUUUAUCUGUCGGCAGAACUUGAGAAUGUUGCGAAGGUUCGGCCAUCGGAGAGGUUCGAAAAGAUGUCGCCGAAGGUCGGAAGUCGGUAGAAUCCCUGAGGGGUCACUCCUGACACGAACUUCGGCUG
rnacentral:lncRNA from 1 species